rnacentral:rRNA from 1 species
UGGGGAAUUUUGCACAAUGGGGGAAACCCUGAUGCAGCGACGCCGCGUGAUUUAGAAGGCCUUCGGGUUGUAAAAAUCUUUUCUAUGGGAAGAAAAUGACAGUACCAUAGGAAUAAGGACCGGCUAAUUACGUGCCAGCAGCCGCGGUAAUACGUAGGGGGCUAGCGUUGUCCGGAAUCACUGGGCGUAAAGGGUUCGCAGGCGGAAAUGCAAGUCAGGUGUAAAAGGCAGUAGCUUAACUACUGUAAGCAUUUGAAACUGCAUAUCUUGAGAAGAGUAGAGGUAAGUGGAAUUUUUAGUGUAGCGGUGAAAUGCGUAGAUUUUAAAAAGAAUACCGGUGGCGAAGGCGACUUACUGGGCUCAUUCUGACGCUGAGGAACGAAAGCGUGGGUAGCAAACAGG